rnacentral:rRNA from 1 species
CCUACGGGAGGCUGCAGUGAGGAAUAUUGGUCAAUGGACGCAAGUCUGAACCAGCCAUGCAGCGUGCAGGAAGACGGCUCUAUGAGUUGUAAACUGCUUUUGUACGAGGGUAAAUUCCAAUACGUGUACCGUGUUGAAUGUAUCUUACGAAUAAGGAUCGGCUAACUCCGUGCCAGCAGCCGCGGUAAUACGGAGGAUUCAAGCGUUAUCCGGAUUUAUUGGGUUGAAAGGGUGCGUAGGCGGUUCGUUAAGUUAGAGGUGAAAUCCCGGGGCUCAACUCCGGAACUGCCUUUGAUACUGUCGGGCUAGAGUUUAGUUGCGGUAGGCGGAAUGUAUGGUGUAGCGGUGAAAUGCAUAGAGAUCAUGCAGAACACCGAUUGCGAAGGCAGCUUACCAAACUGCAACUGACGUUGAGGCACGAAAGCGUGGGGAGCAAACAGGAUUAGAUACCCCAGUAGUC